rnacentral:rRNA from 1 species
CUACGGGAUGCUGCAGUGGGGAAUAUUGGACAAUGGGGGAAACCCUGAUCCAGCAAUGCCGCGUGUGUGAAGAAGGCCUGCGGGUUGUAAAGCACUUUCGGUUGGGAGGACUGCUUCUAGCACUAAUAUUGUUGGAAGUUGACGUUACCUUCAGAAGAAGCACCGGCUAACUCCGUGCCAGCAGCCGCGGUAAUACGGAGGGUGCAGCGUUAAUCGGAAUUACUGGGCGUAAAGCGCGCGUAGGCGGCUAGAUCAGUCGGGUGUGAAAGCCCCGGGCUUAACCUGGGGACUGCAUCCGAUACUGUCUAGCUUGAGUACAGGAGAGGAGAGUGGAAUUCCACAUGUAGCGGUGAAAUGCGUAGAUAUGUGGAGGAACACCAAUGGCGAAGGCAGCUCUCUGGCCUGAUACUGACGCUGAGGUGCGAAAGCGUGGGGAGCAAACAGGAUUAGAUACCCGGGUAGUC